UGGGCGCAAGCCUGAUCCAGCAAUGCCGCGUGUGUGAAGAAGGCCUGCGGGUUGUAAAGCACUUUUCUGAAGGAAGAAAUGUUUAAGGUUAAUACCCUUGAAAGUUGACGGUACUUCAAGAAUAAGCACCGGCUAACUCCGUGCCAGCAGCCGCGGUAAUACGGAGGGUGCAAGCGUUAAUCGGAAUUACUGGGCGUAAAGCGUGUGUAGGCGGUCUGCUAAGUCGGGUGUGAAAGCCCCGGGCUUAACCUGGGAAUUGCAUUCGAUACUGGCAGACUUGAAUUUGGUAGAGGGAAGUGGAAUUCCGGGUGUAGCGGUGAAAUGCGUAGAUAUCCGGAGGAACAUCAGUGGCGAAGGCGGCUUCCUGGACCAAAAUUGACGCUGAGGCACGAAAGCGUGGGUAGCAAACAGGAUUAGAUACCCUGGUAGUCCACGCCCUA
rnacentral:rRNA from 1 species